AUUGAACGCUGGCGGCAUGCCUUACACAUGCAAGUCGAACGGCAGCACGGGUGCUUGCACCUGGUGGCGAGUGGCGAACGGGUGAGUAAUACAUCGGAACAUGUCCUGUAGUGGGGGAUAGCCCGGCGAAAGCCGGAUUAAUACCGCAUACGAACUUCGUAUGAAAGCGGGGGACCUGCGGGCCUCGGGCUGUAGGGUUGGCCGUUGGCUGAUUAGCUGGUUGGUGGGUAAAGGCCUACCAAGGCGACGAUCAGUAGCUGGUCUGAGAGGACGACCAGCCACACUGGAACUGAGACACGGCCCAGACUCCUGCGGGAGGCAGCAGUGGGGAAUUUUGGGCAAUGGGCGAAAGCCUGAUCCAGCAAUGCCGCGUGUGUGAAGAAGGCCUUCGGGUUGUAAAGCACUUUUGUCCGGAAAGAAAUCCUUGGGCCUAAUACGGUCGGGGGAUGACGGUACCGGAAGAAUAAGCACCGGCUAACUACGUG
rnacentral:rRNA from 1 species